AUUGAAUCACAAAUCAACACCAGAAAUGACUUAACAAUCCAUCAGUGACUAAACAUUAGAAAUUUUAUUUUAAAAUAAAAUUGCUUUACGAUUUCACAAAAUAACCACUUUUGGUUUUAUAAAAAACUUCAACUUCAAAAACACUUUUCUGUUGUUGUUUUUUUUGUUGUUGAAAAAUGUUUUUUAAAUUAUAAAAAAAGAGAUUGUCCUUUGAUGGCAUUGCUGUGAACCUUUAUUUAUUAAGAUUGUAUGGAUAAAAAACUAAGUUGUUGGCUCUGUUGGCUCUUCCCAAAGUUAAAAAAAAAGAAAAAAAAGAAAGCCCAAAAAGUGACCAAAAAUCUAUUUGCUGAGAUAUAUUUUUCAAAACACCUUGUUUUGAUUGCUUUAUUUUAAUUGGUUGAGAAAUGUUUCACAGGUGUUGAUUAAUUUCAGUAAUCCACACCUGACCUGUCAAAUGUCUUAAAAUAACCACCAGAGCAAUGUCUGUUGUAAUUGUAUUAUAAGAGGAAUGAUUGACUCCGGUCCUUUGAAUUAUUGAUAAUAAUGCACAACCGCAGUGUAACUCCGCUUGUGUAGUGCCACAUUAUUACUUUGGGUGUUAGGGUUAGGCCCUUUUUGUCAAGGCAUUUUUUUGUAAUUAAAUGCUCUUUUGUGAAGGCCUGCUCUGAUCUAACUUUUAAUAAAAUGAAUCAAAAAUAAUUUAGCCGUGAAUAGAAUUAGUCAUUUGAUGACCUUUUGACCUACAAAUAUAAACAAUGAUGCAUACAUGUUCACUCACUUCUUCUUGUUUGGGGGAUUCACAGGCUUGGAGGGGUCUGGUCUUUGUUAUUUGACUAAAAACUAUUCAUAUUUUGAAUUACUAUUAUAGCAGUUUUUAUUAUAAACAUAGAGUGCUUUAAUUUUAACAUCACUGGUACAUACUGUUCCCUUUCGAGGGAACUUCAACGCUGCGUCAGAGCUGACGCUAUGGGGAACGCCUACAUGGUAUAUGUAUGUAUAUCAAAUUCGACCAAUGGUUGGGCAUGACGUCAUAGACGGAAGCCAGAGAGCAUAAAUACGGCAGAAAGGAAUGCCCACUUUAUCUUUUUUGCCUCAGCGGCUAUCUAUGUGUGUGUGUGUGUAUCAAGAGUGUUUGAAUAGCUUUAACUGUGUGACUGAAUAGUUUAACUGUGUGGCUGAUAAUGAAGGAAACCAAGAAAUCAGAAAGUUUAGGAGCUGAGCACGCUCAUGCCGCAGUGUGACGUGUGUAGUUACUUACCCUCAGUGAGAGGGACGCGAUCUUGUAUAAUCUUCCCCCGAGGGGGUUGAUAUAUUCAAAUCCAUCCUUUAACCAUGGGGUAUCCUGAGGGGCAAUCGUUUCUCAUGAUCAAGGUCACACGCAGAUGCUUUGUGCCUUAGUAUUAUGGAAGAAACCAUGGUUCCUUUCCCAUGAAGGCCAAUAUUGGGGGCUCAUGGUCGUCACAUCAUGCUUACGAUGGAUGCAUCCCUCUAAGGCCUAAAAGUGGCUAUGGAAGGCCAUAAGGUAAAAAUCUAGUUCUAAGUCCACAUGGAGCAGACGUUCUGCUGAGGCAGGCGUUGAGCUCAGGGAAUGAAGACUCCACCCACACAUGGGGGAGCAAAUCUGGCUCAGGUUUUGGCCAAGCGAAAGCUGACCUGUUUGCAAUUCACGAGAAUUCACAUUGUACUCUUUGGUUUUCUCUCUCACACCCAGUCCCACUGAGAGCCUUUGGUGUGAUUUUCCCCAGUAGCUCUGCUACCGGGAGUUCUGCAGAAGGUCCGGCAGCACAGGCAGAGCUGUUGCUCGUAGCCUCAUGUUGGCUGACUGUAAAAUGGUUUUCAGACCUGGUCUCCCUCCCAGACGGCUCCCCAUUUCAGGGGCCGAUCUGUAGGGAUCGAUAAUCUCAGGCGAGGGGCAUUGUGUUUUACCCCUGCCUAGAGUUUUUGGGUCUGGCCUCUGAGGAGAACAGACUCAUAGAAACGGGUCUUUCAACUGAGGUUGUGCAGACUAUUUUACUUCCAGAGCUCCCUCCACCAGGAAAUGAUAAGCAUUUAAAGAAAGACUUUUUAUUACAUGGUGCCACGAGUACUUAUAUGAGCCAGUUAACUGCCCCAUGGUACAGUUCUGGAGGUUUUAUGGGAGCAGUUUGCAGCAGGGCUAUCUCCUUUGACCAUUAAGGCUUAUGUGGCAGUUAUAUCUGUCUUUCAUACCUUAGUGGUCGGCCCCUCAUUAAGUAGAGACCAUCUUUUCAUGCGUUUCCUGUGUGGCACUAGGAGGCUAAGGCCUGCGAGUCAUUCUAGGAUCCCUGCGUGGGAUCUGUCUGUGGUCCUGGAGAACUUAUCAGGGGCACCAUUUGAGCCAUUGGAUAUCAUCUCAGAAAGUUUCUUACUCUGUAAAACUAUACUUCUCCUAGCUAUUACCUCCCUGAAGAGGGUAGGAGAUUUAAUGUCUCUCUCAGUUUCACUCACCUGCCUUCAAGUUCACUCCAGGCAUGGUGAAGGGUUUCUACACCCUAGGCCAGUUUACGUGCAUAAGGUUCGGAAUAAUAUUUCACACCCGUAAUAUUGCAGGCUUGCACUGUGGGCAGCGGCCUUGAUCCAGGAUAUCUGUGAUGCGGCAGGCAGGUCCUCACUGCUCACUUUUCUACACUUUUGAAUUGGAUCUUAACUUUAUUCCUGGGGAUCGUGUGCUUUGGUCUUAGUUGUACUGUCUACACACAGACAGGCACUUGUAGUCUGGCGGAUUGGGUAUAAUGUUCCCCAUAGCGUCAGCUCUGACGCAGCGUUGAAGUUCCCUCGAAAGGGAAUGUCUCAGGUUACGUAUGUAACCCUUGUUCCCUGAGAAGGGAACGAGACGCUGCGUCUUCCUGGCCAUACUUCUGGCGUGCCUGUAUACCCGCUUCGGCUUAUGCAAGAUAAAGUGGUCGUUCCUUUCUGCCGUAUUUAUGCUCUCUGGCUUCCAUCUAUGACGUCACGCCUGGUCGACACGAUUGGUCGAAUUUUAUACCCAGGUGAAAAAGUUCUUGGUCAUUAAAUAUGUUUAUUAUAUAUAUGUGUGUGUGUGUGUGUGUGUGUGUGUGUGUGUGUGUGUGUGUGUGUGUGUAUUUAGCCCUAAU